CACUUUGAAAUCUUGCCUGGCAACCCGCAAUGAAAUUCUCCACAGUCAGCACUGACAACAGGAGAAAAGAAAACACACUUGCACCCCAAAAUGAGGAAUUCUGGUUAGAGAACAUUGUUUUAAAAUUUAUCUACGUGAGAGAGAGAAAGUUGUUGCUGGAGGAGUUGUACAAGGGUAUGAAAAAUUGGAUGAUUCCAUCAGUCUAGGAUGGCUUGGAAGUAAGAAUAGAAUUUUUUCUCAAAGUCUUAUCAUGCCAAUAACUCGAUACUAAUAUUAUCUUAAAUAACUAAAAAUUGGGAACUGAUAGUUAAUUAUGGAAAAAGAUGGGCUGAGAACUGAACAGCUGUUGAAAGCCUUGGCAGCGUCUGUUGCAUUGUGAUGCAUUUAAAUGAGUUUCACCCUGAUGUGGUUUGCCAGCUGACAAGAGUCCCACCAUAUGACUUUGACUGUGGACUUCCUGGCAUCACAUACCUGGACUGCAGGAAAGAGACACUUUUCUCAGAGUCUAUCGGAAAAAUGACUGGACUAGCACUUUUACUCCCAGUGAUGACUCCAAUAUGAAACGGUGAACUUUUAUUUCUCAAAAGUAUAUUGAUCAAUUAUGAGCAUCAUGACUACACUAAAUAAUGAAAAGACGGAGAGGAGGUGACUUCUUAGAAACCCCCAGAGCACCAGGAAAUGAGGGGAUGACAAAAGCCAAGAACACCAUAAUGAUUCAGCUGUUCUCAACAAGACCCUGUUGAACAACUCAAGUUGUGGAUAGGGAAGCUCAGUGAAGAUGAGAAUUAGCAGUCAGUGUUCCAACAGUUUAAUUUUUAUGAUGGCUUUUCUUCCCAAAUAGAAAUAUGCAACUUGACUUCUGCAAACUUCCAGAAAGGUGAAAUCACAAAGCUAUCAUCUCAGCACACACAAAAAAAUGUUAGGGACAUCAUCUGGAAACUUUCCUAGAAAUAUUUGCUUUGUGGAAAAAUAAAUAUGCAAAGUUCUUUAUCUUUACUUUUAAG
rnacentral:lncRNA from 1 species